rnacentral:lncRNA from 1 species
UUUUUUUUUUUUUUUAAUCUUCUUGCCUCCUUUUCUAGGGCUGCUCCCAUGGCAUGUGGAGGUUUCCAGGAUGGGGGUCCAAUUGGAGCUGUAGCUGCUGGAUCCGAGCCACAGCCACAGCAACGCAGGAUCCGAGCCGCGUCUGCAAUCUACACCACAGCUCACGGCAAUGCUGGAUCCUUUAACCCACUGAGCAAGGGCAGGGACUGAACCCGCAUCCUCGUGGUUCCUAGUCAGAUUCGGUAACCACUGCACCAUGAUGGGAACUCCAGCUUAUCUCCUUUUUGUAAGCUGAUGGAGGGAAGAGUUUUUACUCACCUUUGUAAAUUCUAAAGACAGUAGGUAUUGAUAGGAUAGGUACUUAAACAUUUACUGAAUAUAUAAAAGAAUUAAUUAUUUUCAGAACAUAGAGAUAGACGUAAGUCUGGUUAUUUAUUGAAAGUCUGACCAAUCUUAGCAUGGAUUUGAAUGUGAAACCAAAAGGAAGUGUGGAUUUCUGGUUAUUUUGUGAUUUUUGAAAAUAUUUUCAAGUUUAAUUAGCGCUCACUUUUUGAAACUGGUCCGAAUGUGAUAUACAACGCAAUGACUAUUUAUGUAAAACAGUCACUGCAAGUGAGGCACUCUGAAGUGUAAUGACAAGUUUAGUAUCCUUUCCAGGAGAAUCUUAUCCUUCAGGACUCCACUGGAACUCAGGUCAGGGAUACAGCAGCUGGAGAGGAAGGGUCUUCUGACACUGGCUGCUUGACCCACGUUUCCUUGCCCCAAGGUAGUAACGUUAAGAUCCAGGCUGAGAACUUGUCAAAUGACAUUCUGGAUUGGACCCACUUUGCAAACCACAAAGGGCAAGGCAAAUGUUACUGAUAAUUAUUGCUAUUCAGAGAAAUCUUUUGCAAAAUGCUCAUGGCAUGAACCUUCCCAUUUGAGAAGGGGGGUUCAGUACGCCUGAGUUGGCGCUGCUCUGGUUGUUUUCCUUUCUCUUCGAGAACACGCUUCAGGGGUCUGCCCUCUCUGGAAAAUGAUUUGUUUUGUAAAUGUCAACGAUUCAAAAACAUUUCUAAGGGGGAUUCUCACCACAUACAAAUCAGAGGGUCAAUCAGAAGUCUGUGAUACCUGAGACAAAACCGCACAUCGAGCUGCACACUGGGACUUUCCCUCUGAGCUUACAUUGCAAGGAGUGCUUCUAAACCAUGAGCCCACACCUUCGGCUAAGGCCUCAUUUGCCCCUCGGUAUAAAGGACACGCUGACUAGAGCCUGCAGCGGGCAAACUUUUUAGUAGCUAUGUUUACAUUCGCUCUUACUAUUGCUCAUAGAAUGGAUUCAAAUGCGAUUCCAUUUGCAGACAGUUCAUAAAUAGUUAGUUUUAAAUUUAGCCUUAAUCUCUUUGGGAAUGAGUUCUGUUUAUGGUUCACAAUGUGACUUCCCAGUUUUAAAAAGAAAAAUAAGCAAAUCCUCUAAGACUUAGAGAAAAGCACUUUCUAUUUCGUGAGCUUUCUUAAAAUUCUGGCAGUGUGAUUCAGCAGCCUGCUUCCCCGCAUUAUGCCCCAAAGGAGAAGGCAGAGGUGACAGAACUUGAAAACCCCUCCAAAGUGUAAACCGGGGGGAACAGAGGAAAGAAAAAGAUUCUUAUAACUGUCAGAGUCUGAAGAAACAACAACAACAAAAAAGAAGUUCAGAGCAUUUUAAAAACAAACAAAAUCUAAAGCAAACUCAGCUACCCAUUCAUUCAGCUUGUCUAGCUUGAGAAAUGACGAAUACAGAAGAGUUUAGCCAUAGGAUACUAAUUCCUCCUAUUACUUCCAUGCCUUUUCUUUUCCUUUUUUUGUCUUUUUGCCAUUUCUUGGGCCGCUCCUGCAGCAUAUGGAGGAAUGGAAAGGAAGAGAGGAAUAUUCUGGAGAAGUGAGUGUGGAAUACGCCCUAUGUAGAGUAUCCUCGGCCUGCUGGAAUAAGCACUUCAAACCUGGGGCCUUAGGAAACUGAAAUUGUCUCUCAGUCCUGGAGGCCAGAAGUCCAAGAGGAAGGUGUCAUUGGGGUGGGUUCCUUCUGGGCUCUAUGAGGGAGAAUCAGUCCCAUGCUCCUCUCCUCACAUGCAGUGCUUUGCUGAAACUGUUGCUCUCUCGGCUUAUAAAACCACCAUCUCAGUCUUUGCCUUCAUUUUCACAUAGCAUUCUCCUGGUGUGAACAUCUAUGCCAGAAUUGUCCCUUCAAAUAAGGAUGCCACUCAAACGAGGCAUUAGGGCCCCCUGCUCCAGUAGGACCUCAUUUAUUUAUUUAUUUUUUUGGCUCCUGAGGCAUAUGGAAGUUCCCAGGCUAAGGGUCAAAUGGGAGCUGUAGCCUCUGGCCUACGCCACAGCCACAGCAACGUGGGAUUUGUGCUGUGUCUAUAACCUACACCACAGCUCACAACAAUGCCGAAUCCCCAACCCACUGAUGGAGACCAGGGAUUGAACCUGCAUCUUCAUGGGUACUACUCAGAUUCCUUUCUACUGAGCCACAAUGGGAACUCCUAUGACCUCAGCUUAAUGUAACCAAUUACAUCUGCAGUGACCCCAUUUGCAAAUAAAGUGACAUUCUGAGGUACUGAGGGCUGGGACUUCAACAUAUCAAUUUUGGGAAGAACACAAUUCAACUCAUGAAAUUCUGGAAAAGGAGUCAGAUAAUUAGCACAUGGUGGGAGGAGCAUUUUUAAGACUAGAAGAUCUAUAAUUUUCAAAAGUGGUAGGAGAGGAGGGUGGAGGCUAGGAUGUGAAGAGAUUCUAUAGCCAUGUUUGCGGUGAAGAAAGUUGAAAUAUAUGCUCAGAUGUUUUGAGAAGCAAUGAUAGGUGAAGACGGGAUACAAAGAUGUGUGAUCCUAAAUUAGGGGAAACGUUGCACUGAACAAGCCUUAAUGGGAUCCUUUAGCGCUUCUCAUACACUGUAACGUGGUAAUGUACUUCGUAAAAUCCACACGCGUAAGGGUAGGCAGUGCUUGCCAACCCUAUCUCACUGCAGAGACCAUUUUUUUUCCAGAGAUCUUCCACUAAAAAAUAUUCAUUUGGAUAUGCGGGCAUAGUCAUUGCAUAGACUUCCCAGCGGGCUUCCUUACAUCUCUUGAGUCCCAGUUUCCUUCUCUGCGGAGCUGGGACAAUCGUAGUGUUUGAUAAGUUCAGGCCAUAUAAAAGGAAGGCGACUCUUUAAAGUUAAAGCAUUAGACACAUGGGAGUAACUGGAGACAUUUUAGGCAGGAGGUGGAAGGCUUGUGAAUUUGCUGAAAAUAAGAGAGCAGUCAAAGCAAUCGUUUGUGGGAAAUAAAGAUCCACACACUAAUAACCAGGUAGCAUCAAAAGGAGGCCUCCUGCGGGGGUGGCUCAUGCCUUUCCCACCAUUCCUACUUCAUUCAUUCAUUCAUAUUCAUUAAGCACAUCUCUAAAUUCAUCACUCAGCAUUCCUCAAGGCACACUUCAUAGAUGACUUGAAUUCAAUCUGGCCGCCCCUUCCUCAGCUCUCCUGGGCAUACACUGUCUGAGUCACACAGCUUGGCAUUUGAAUAUAUAUUGUCUUGAAUGAUUAUCUCUUUGUUUCCUUUUCUUUGGAUGCACCUCCUAAAUGAGAUUAUAAAUCUUCCUUAAGUAAUUACAAAUAAUAUCCUACAGACUUCCAACCUUGCAGUGCACAAAACUAAGUGCAUAGAAGAUACAUAAUAAGUACGCAAUGCACUGAAGAAAAUUUGGCAUCUGGGACAAAGACCUCUGCAACAUCUAGUUAACUUAUCCUACUGUUACAAAAACACUGGCAACCGAACACAAAAUGCGGAGAAUUACCUAGAAAUAUAUGUUCCAUAUUUUUCGUGAUUAUCCAUAAUCAUAAUUGAUAAGUGAUUUCUAAAUCUUCAUUUAUACAAGGGAGCCACUGUGUAUAUGGUGUUCUUUGAUUCAAAGGAGUUACAUUUUGCCUCUAACCAGCUUAGAGCUGUCAUUGACAAUUAAAAAAAAAACUGACAAACAGAUAAGAUGAAAUGAGCAGAAAACACCUAUUUAUUUAUAAAAAUGAUGGUACUAAUAUAGGAGAAAUUGGGUGCUGAUUUACUUAGACAAAGGGCUUUCCAUUUCAUUUUGCUAUUAGGCCCCUUUUUGAACUACUCUUAAAAUUACUUGAGGAAGUUCACAUGGAAAGUUUAUUUCUUCUUGAAGGUCAUUUAUAGAUUACAGAAUAUACCAACUUGUUAAGUUAAAAAUCACCAAAUCUCUUUGGGCAAUUUGCUGUGAAGAUCAACUGGGCACUCCAAAUCUCCAGGGUUACAUUAUUUGAUGUGUUUUGUUAACUUGUCAGGUUGACACACUGCAUUAAGGGUGAGAACAAUUUCUUUGGGAGUACAUUUAUUUUCACUAACUUAAAAAAAUGAUUCUCGUCUAUUCAGAUAAUAUUUUGUCAAGAGUUAUAAAAUACUGGGCUUUAGCUUUGUGGUUUAAUAAGCCACACCCAUACUUUAUGAUUGACAAUAAAAUAACUAUUAAGUCAAAACAUGCAGCUGAUAAGAAUCUUCUUCCAAAGCCUUACAUAUCUACAAAUGAAUCAAAGGAGAACACAGCCACCCAAUAAUUACCGGUUCCUGGAUCAUUCCUCGCUGUCUUAUUCAAUCAUUCAAAGUUGUGCUCUCCAUACACCAACCUGCUUUCCAGCACUUCCACCACUCAGUGUUGAAAGUUAUUAUUUUUUUUUUAUUUCCAGCUUUGAAGAAUACUUCAAAAUAUAAUUGUACAUAUGUAAAGUGCAGAAUUUGAUGAUUUGCUCUGCAUAUACAUUAUGAAAUGUUACCAAAAAGUUAUUCUCAAUAAUGAUUUCCUUCCAACCAAGUUUAGCAGUGUUUCAAUCUUCCCAGAAACUGGGACCCCCCACAUAACGACUUCUUUUCAAACAUAUUUUCAAGCUGGGAAAUGUAAAAAUCUGUAAGAAAAAUUAGUAAGUUGUCCCUGUGAGGUAUGGCAGCAUCAGCAUGGUAGAAAGAACACAGACCUUAGAAUCAAGGCUCUGAUUCAAGGUAAGGUCACACUCGUCUGUGUGAACUCAACGUGCUGAGCCUCAGUUUCCCCAUCAAAGGAUAUUAACGUCUCAGAGUUCCCAGAUUCAUAACAGAUUUUUAGUUAUUAUUUAAUGAGUGAAUGAAUGACCACACAGUAUCCCCUAUGUCUCAUAUUCUGCUUUGGUCUCCUUUUCCUUUUCCUAUUUCAUGCUUCGUCCUUCAUACUACCUCCCACUUCCUUCAUACUCCCUCCCACUUCCUUCAUACUACCUCCUACUUCCUUCAUACUACUUCCCACUUCCUUUCUUUUCCACUCGCAACCUAGCAAGAAAUUAAAUUCCUUUCCUUGUGACCUUUCACUUAAAAUCACUUUUUUUUUUUUUCAGUUUCUUCAUUUUCUCCACACAAUCUAGCUCCAUGUCUCCACCUUAUACUCACUCUCCAAAGUCAGGUUUUUCCUUUCACUCAAAACCUGACAAAAAUCAUACCCUUUGCCUAUUACAUGCACUCAGUAAAUAAUAAAGUGGUGAUGUUGAAUUCAUCCACAAAGAACAUAUAAUCUAGGCAAUAAAAUUUGGCAAAGAAAAGAGAGUGAGUAACUGCAAUCCAUUUAGAAACAGGUGUGAUUUCUCUCACCAGCCGUUAACACGUUUGCGCUGCCAUAAUUACUGCAGGGGUAUAUACUACAUUGCCAUAGAAACAUUGUUUCCAAAAUACAUAUGUAUAGAUUUUAUUGGUGGGUAUGUUGGCUAUAAAGCAGUUUUCCACACUUCUUGUGAGCUUUGACAAUGACGAGUGACAGGAAUCAUAUUCGUCUCUACAGCUGCCCCAUGUUGAAGGGUUUCAAGGUACAAGAAAUACUCCUACCUUCUGUAUUUCAAAGUGACUAGAGCUGGUAUCCCCCCAGGUGCACACAUUUAAAAGUAAGGUAACUAGCUAAGUAAAGAUCACAGUAAUAGUAAAAAUAUAACCAAAUUAGGAUCCAUCUGUAAAAUGAGAAGAAUAAUAUUCCUCUUAGAAGAUUUUUAUUUGCUCAAAUGAGACAUGGCAAAUUAAAAAACCUGUAAAUUAUAAAAUGUUAUGUAAAUAUUAAUUCUGGGUUUUAUUCAACAUCAACACAGACUGUCCUCACAUAUUAGGAGGAGUUCAGUUUUGAGAGUUCGCUUGGUCCCUCCUUAAACACACUGAUAUAGUCUUCCUUCCCUAUGUAUUUAUGGACAAGCACAUUCAGCAUCCUCAAGGUUUAACCUCAGGUCCAGACUGUCAGAGAAACAGUGCCUGCUAGCAGAUGAGUGUUUUCUCUGGCUACCUUGUAGACCUUUCCUAUCUCUAACCUAUGAGGAAAAAAAUACCAAAUAAAAAUCUUUGGAAUUCACACUUUGUAUUUCUAUUGGCGAAAAUCAAAAUGACUGUGAGAAACUACUGAAUUCGAGAAAAGCAAUAUAAAUUCACAUCUUUGACUCACACAGAGGAAAGAGUCAAGGUUUAAACUGACCUCUUUCUCCUUCUAAAUCACACACACACACACACACACACACACACACGGAAUUCUUUUAAAUAACCAAGGAGGCAAACCUAUUUUAAUGACAAGACCAAGUGGCUAAGUUCUGAUGCAAAUAAUAACAAUUCAUGCUUGCCUUCCUUUUACAACCACAAAGUAUUUCCCGUACUUGAUUGCAGUGGAUCUUCAUUACCGCACUAUGAAGUAAUCAGAAGUGGGGAGUGUUGAGAGGAGGUGAAUUCCUGGUGAGUUAUCCUUCACCUGUACACUGGUUUGUUGCUCUGCACUCCUUCCACGGUUAACACUGAUCACAAAGCUUACUGCCUCCAAGGAAGAGAAGGAAAUGAACCACCUAGAGGUAAGACGUUCACGAAGUCGGAAAAUGAGCUUAACGUAGGAGGAAGGUCUUAGACUGUGCAAGGAAAAGAAGAGGUUUUCAAGUUGGAAGGGAGAUGUACAAGCAGAAGCUUGGGGAAGUAGGAGAUCAGUCUUGCUGGAGCUGAUCCCCAGAGUGAGAGCAAAGGAAAAGGAGAAGCCCAGGUAGUAAGCACAAAGGAGCAACAAAAGUAAAGAGGACUUUUUCUUACCUCCUGUUCAGAAAUUGCUUAGCAGGCUGCCCUCAAGUUAACAUGGCAGGCACGACAGAAUAAAAGACUGGUGUGAUAUGUUUCUGCAGAGACAGGGCAGGAGAAGGCCCUUACGUCCUUCUUAGCUCCUAUGUGACAGACACAUAUGCUAGGAGUUGCGGGGAGGCAGAAGAGAGUUGGGAGCCAAACUGAGGCAAGGGGUGAGAGAGCCCACAGCCUAGGCAGGGUAGUCCAUUAAGACCCCAGAGAUCUGCACACCAAAAGAGCCAAGUGAGGCCAACUUGCUGAGGGGUGGAGUGGGUCCCAAGGAGCCCCUACUAUGCCAAGUGCAUAGACCUCUAGGUCCACCAGCCACAUGGGCAGGGCAGUGGGGAAAAGAGCAAUGUCCAGAAACCCACAAUGUAUUUCAGCAGUUAAGUGCCCAACAGAAAGAACAGCUCAUGCUGUUUCCCACCACUGAUACAAUAGGAGCUGUGAAAUCAACAAAGGCUAACUACAUAAGAAAAGCGAAUGCUAUUUGUUCAGAGUUUGCUAUGGCAAAAGAUAGCCACCAUCACGUGCACCAUGACAGAGACUCAACAGCAGGUGAAGAAAUAGCAAAGCUUUACACAAUGGAAGGCAGGGAAAGCUUCAGGUGGACCCUGAUUGGAGGCUGAUGGCCUGGUGGAUCUUUAAGGGCAUAACGGAAGGGGGACAUCCUAUGUGGCUGGUUAGGUUAUAUUUGACUUUCUCUAGUUGAUCCUAAGUUUGAAACAGGGAUCAAAAUUAAGAAAGAUAUCAAUUAUUAAUCAAGUCCUGGCCAUUUGGGUGGAUUGUUAACAAGAAGAUAUUAUUUACCUUCUUGGAUUGUCACUAGAAAUAACAAUGGGGAUUUCUGCAGGUCUGACUUAGAGCAGGCUGACUUCUAGAGCUGUUACUGCAGAUAAGGGGCUGGUUUCCUAAAUAGUUUAUGUGCUGCAGGUUGUGGGUUCUAUUUUUAAUAUGUGGCCUUGCCAUUGACUUGUUUCUAUAAACAGUCUCUAAGAGCACACAAAUGUCCUCUGUCACCUACGUGGUACCUUGUAAAGAAGAGAGAGGAGAAAAAAUUCAAAAGAAGAGGAACAGAGAGACAGCCUUUUAGGAGGGUUCAAACAUUGGAUGGAUUGAAUAUUUUUCCAAAAGAGACCAAGUUAGCUGGAAAAAGAAAGUGUUAUAGCCUGGAAAAGAUGAAUAUAUCAUUAAUGAGAAAGUUUAGGGGUGUGGAGGUGGGGGUUUUAUGUUAUUUUUUGUUGUUCUUUGUUUGUUUCUUUUUUGCUAGCAACAGGAUUGGAGGAUCCAGAGUAAGAUAAGAUUAGAUUUGGAAAACAGAGAGCCUACAUUUUUUGCACUCCCAAUAUAUGGUACACAAAUUUUUACCCUGUGAUUGGUAUUUUUGCACACAGUUUACAUGAGAGGUUUUCAAAAAUAAUAACUGUAAUUUGAAAAGAUACAUG